rnacentral:tRNA from 1 species
GUCAUUGUAGCUUAUUUUUUUAAAAGCACGGCACUGAAGAUGCUGAGAUGAGGAACAGAAAAACCUCCACAGACA